rnacentral:lncRNA from 1 species
GGGAGGUGGAGGUGGUGAAAAAUGGACGAGCGGACAGGGUUGGGUUGAAGGGGGGCUAAUAUUGUAGGUGCGGUUAUUGGCGGUGGUUUGACAACACACACCCACACAAGACGUUGAGUGAUGAAGAAGAGGGAGUAGAGAGAGAGGACAAAUAGGGGAUUUUUUUUAUUAGGGAGGGUAAUAAUGUCAUUUUGAUUUUUCAGUCACUUCUGUUAAGAGACCAACAGUGAGUGGGGAGGUUAGUGUAAUUUCUCAAACACUAUGGGGAGUCUAGAUGAAAAGCAAACCAUAAGUUUCCUUCAUCUAGUUCUCAAUCCAAAGAUUCCAAACAUUAGUCCUUUUCAAUUCCUUUCCUGUCGAGAAGGCAUUUAUGCUUGAGGUCUAAGGAAUUUUCCAGUAAACUGAUUCUACUUUUCCAGUCAAAGUUCUAACUCUUUUAAGUUUAGAAGUCCAGGGUAGACCAUGACCAGCACAGUUCUGGCUAGGGAUGGCAAUUUCCCCGGUAAAAUUGGGUUCCCACCUCCCUCGCAUAGGGUGGAUUUGGGGUAGGGAUAAACGGAUUCGGGGUGGGUUAUGGGGAAAAAAUUAUAAUCCGAGUCGGGUUUGAAUUUAGUCCACUAAAUUCCGAAUCCGCCCCGAUUAUAUGGAAAAGACCAAAUUACCCUUAUUUUGUUAAUUAGGACUAUGAAGAUCCUUACUAUAAUAUAUCUAUCAAUAAUGAGGAUAUUAUAUUUUUUACCAUUUAUAAAAUAUAUUUAUAUAUAUAUAUAUAUAAAAUAUUAAAAAAAAAUAUUAACGGGGAGGGAAAGGGGGGAGAAUAAGGGUUUGAGUUUGAGUCCCAACCCGCCACGGAUUUAGGACGGGGUGGUGGGGGGGAGAGUUUUCUUAAUCGGAGCGGGGACAGGUUGGGACAAACCCGCCCCGUUGCCAUCCCUAGUUCUGGCUCAUGUGAUCUCUCUUAACCUCCACAAUAAUUUUCUACAGAACUUCAGAAAAACUAAAUAUAUGAUGCACCGAGCCUUGGUUUGGGAUAAAAUAAUUUUUUGGUUUAUUCAUCUUUAGUGAAUAUUAUUUUAUCUUUUGGUCAAAUAUUUUAAUUUUUCGAUUUGUAUUAAUUUUGAUUUUAGUUGCGUUUUGUAAAAAAUAAAACCUUUUUCUUUUCCUCUAACUAAGACGAACCGGAAAAGUAUGAUAUAUUGACAAAAAAAUCUCAAAAAAUAAAAAUUAAUUAAAAAAUUAUAGUUUUUUUAUAACUAGAUAUUUAGCCUAAAGACUGACUAAUCAGAAAGAUCAAUUCCAUGGUCCACUAGCAACAUGCCCAAUUAAAACCGGAGCAAAUGCCCGUAUUAAUUGGAGCACCAAGUUGGCUUCAAACAGAUUAAUCUGUACGGGGCACUGAUUAAACCUAGGAAUGCCCAAUCAACGAUUCAGUGUAUUGUCUGUUUCAAAUGGACUAUCUGCUUGAAUAGCAUAGCUCGAUUUUAGAACUAAAAAUAGACUUAUAUCCCAUGGUGCGUAACCUUUUUUAGGGCAGAUCCUAAUACCAUUGGCAGCUGCACGAUAGAUUUUUUAGAUUUAAAUUAUAUUGGGCGACUGUCAACUCAUAAGAACAUAACUUAAAUAAUGGUGGAUUUGCAACCUUAAUAUUUGAAUUGGGGCUAGUGGCAGAGCAAAAACGCGUUUGACAGCCAAGCACUUUGAUGUCUGAUUUAGAUUAGUUACAAUCCUUAUCUGAUGAUGUUGAGUGGCAGUGACUUUCUUUGGGUACCGGAGUUACUGUGGGGAGCUAAGUUCCUGCCGAGUUGUAAAGAUCCAAACAACGUCGUUUUGAAUGUGUUUUGUCCAAAACGACCGCGUUUUAGAGCAAUACAUUUUUGGAUAUAAACGACGUCGUUUGGGGACAAAACACACCCAAAACGACGUCAUUUUAGAUCCCUACAAUCCGGCAGGGACUUGGGCUCCCCGCAGUAACCCAAAUACCUUUCUUUGGUGGGAGUGUUCAUCUCAUACGUAUGAGAAAAUAUGAGAUGAACAGGGGAUGUCUAUCACAUUCAACCACCUACCCAAUGACUGAGCGCGGUGGUUGUUGAAUCGUCUGUAGAGAGAGGGUUGUGAUAGUGUCUCGCUGGUUGUGAAGGUCAACGGUCAUCUUGAUACGGAUUCAUAGAGACUGGAGAGAGCACGCGAGGAGAGAGAGAAAGUGGAGCCCAUGUAUUAAAUAACUCACGGUAAUAAUUAAAGUAGGCUCAAUUUAUGAACAAUUAUCAAAAAUUUAUGAUAUUUUAUGAUUAAAAAAUUAGUUAUAAAUUAUUAUAGUCUUUGUUAAAAGUAUGGUGGCGUCGAGAAUUAAUACCAAUAGUAAAAUCAACUAAGCACGUCUUGCUAUUAUUUUUAUGAAUUCUCGUGAUAACUAAUAAACUUUUACGAAUAGGGUGUUGUUUGAUAAAAUUUAUAAAUUCCAUGGUCCAAAUGAUUUACCUAGAGUCCACAAAUAUUUUUUUAUGAAUUGACUUGUAUGAAUUCAACACGUUGCACGUGACUCGGUUUUUAUGAUUUUUUUGUGAUUAGUUUAUGAAGUCUUUUAGAAUCGUGUUCGGACUCCAAAAACUAUUAACGAAAUUUGUGAAUUGAUUAUGGAUUUGCAAAUGAAGUUAUAAGGUUUGUGACUAUUUUUUUUGGUUUGCACUGGGAUGACUGGAAUGUACUGGUCAAAAUUGAUGAUAUGGCUCAUUCUCAGUCACACAUUAAAUGCAGAAUUGUAAUUUUUUUUUGUGUGUGUAUAUGAUAUAUGGACCUAUGAUAAGUAACUUAAGGCCAAAAUUACAACAAUGGUGCCAGAAAAUUAAAUAAUUACCUCUUACACAAGUUAGAACAGUUCAAGUUCCCCAUUAAGAAUUACUCUAUCAAGUUAUAAAUUUCCUCUUGUUUGGUGAGGGUGGGUAUAAUCAACACGGUUCAUUCUAUGAAAAAUUUGAAUACGGUAUUGACAAGCAUAUUCCUUUAUAGUAACUCAUAUAAUUGCGUGAAUGUGAGAAUAUCAUCGUAUUCUUUUGAUAUGAUUAUUUUUUGGAAAAAAUUAAAUAAAGAAAAUUCAAGAUUUGGGACUAUGAAAGUUAAAUUAAAUCUUAUUGUUUUAAAUUGUAAACAAAAUUUACCUUUGUAAUGUUAAUUUAGUAACAAUUUAAAUCAUUCGUUAGUCUUUGGUCUACCUAAGGCUAACAAAAAUAACUGGUUCUUACUAAAAGCAUAACUGUUUUCGUAAGCCUUUAAGUAGAUGGAGACUAACGAUAGUUUAAAUGGGUUAAGCUCUAGGUAGAUGGAGCUCAUUUGUGUCUGCUGCUGUCGUGCCUUGCUUGAUUUUUUUUUAUGAAUGAAUUUAAUGAAUAAAAAUUCUAAUUAUUUAAGAUUUACUCAUAUAAACGAGUCGUUCUAAAAACAAUGAUUAAAUUUCAGCCGGCCCAUCACACCGUACUUCUUGUUAUGCCAUAGACCUGUCCUUUUACGUAUAGUCCGCCUGCCCCGCCCCGCCCAUCCCAUCCCACCUACCCUAAUUUACACGACCUCUACCGACGAUCAAAUAUGUCCUAAAAUGGUUUUGAAAAAAUGAAAUAAUCCUCGUUCAAGCAACGGAUCGUAUGGCUUUGGUUCAAAAUUGUUGUUAGCAAAGUGCACAGUUCACACUGCUGACCCACAACCACGCUCCUAGUCGUCUCUUUGAUACUUUUUUUCUUCUUUUGAUACUAUUGUCCCCUAAACGCUUUACCAUUGCAUCUUG